rnacentral:rRNA from 1 species
GAUGAACGCUGGCGGCGUGCCUAAUACAUGCAAGUCGAGCGAACAGACGAGGAGCUUGCUCCUCUGACGUUAGCGGCGGACGGGUGAGUAACACGUGGAUAACCUACCUAUAAGACUGGGAUAACUUCGGGAAACCGGAGCUAAUACCGGAUAAUAUAUUGAACCGCAUGGUUCAAUAGUGAAAGACGGUUUUGCUGUCACUUAUAGAUGGAUCCGCGCCGCAUUAGCUAGUUGGUAAGGUAACGGCUUACCAAGGCAACGAUGCGUAGCCGACCUGAGAGGGUGAUCGGCCACACUGGAACUAAGACACGGUCCAGACUCCUACGGGAGGCAGCAGUAGGGAAUCUUCCGCAAUGGGCGAAAGCCUGACGGAGCAGCGCCGCGUGAGUGAUGAAGGUCUUCGGAUCGUAAAACUCUGUUAUUAGGGAAGAACAAAUGUGUAAGUAACUAUGCACGUCUUGACGGUACCUAAUCAGAAAGCCACGGCUAACUACGUG